AUCUUCUUCUUCUUCUAGUUUGCAGGUCUUCAGGUGUUUCAGGAGCAGCUCAGACACUGAUUGAGAUUAAAGUUAAAUCAUUUUUCUUUGCUGUGUUUUUGGUUCUCCAGAUGUUCCUUCAGUGUUUGAUGGUGAUGGUCUUGACCUCGGUGAAGAAGUGAUACGAAUCCUUCCCUCCUUCCCGUCCCACUCCGGAGUUCUUCAUGCCUCCAAAGGGCAGGUUCGGGUCUCCGAUCAGCCAGCAGUUGGUCCAGACCACACCGGCCUGGAUCUUCUGGGCCACUCGGUGGACCUU